rnacentral:rRNA from 1 species
UGGGCAACCUGCCCUCAGCUCUGGGAUAACCCCGGGAAACCGGAGCUAAUACCGGAUACUCCGGCUGGAUCGCAUGGUCCGGCCGGGAAAGGUCCGCCGGAGAGGGAUGGGCCCGCGGCCUAUCAGCUUGUUGGUGGGGUCAUGGCUCACCAAGGCGACGACGGGUAGCUGGUCUGAGAGGGCGACCGGCCACACUGGGACUGAGAUACGGCCCAGACUCCUACGGGAGGCA